rnacentral:rRNA from 1 species
UACGUAGGGUGCGAGCGUUAAUCGGAAUUACUGGGCGUAAAGCGUGCGUAGGCGGUUCGCUGUGUCCGAUGUGAAAGCCCCGGGCUUAACCUGGGAAUGGCAUUGGAAACUGGCGGGCUUGAGUGCGGCAGAGGGGGGUGGAAUUCCGCGUGUAGCAGUGAAAUGCGUAGAUAUGCGGAGGAACACCGAUGGCGAAGGCAAUCCCCUGGACCUGUACUGACGCUCAUGCACGAAAGCGUGGGGAGCAAACAGG